GAAUCUAUAAUUUAAUGGAAGAAUGUUUGCCUUCUAAGCAAAUGAUGUGGGUUCGAAUCCCACUAGGUCG
rnacentral:tRNA from 1 species